GCGUUAAGUUGCAGGGUAUAGACCCGAAACCCGGUGAUCUAGCCAUGGGCAGGUUGAAGGUUGGGUAACACUAACUGGAGGACCGAACCGACUAAUGUUGAAAAAUUAGCGGAUGACCUGUGGCUGGGGGUGAAAGGCCAAUCAAACCGGGAGAUAGCUGGUUCUCCCCGAAAGCUAUUUAGGUAGCGCCUCGUGAACUCAUCUCCGGGGGUAGAGCACUGUUUCGGCUAGGGGGCCAUCCCGGCUUACCAACCCGAUGCAAACUGCGAAUACCGGAGAAUGUUAUCACGGGAGACACACGGCGGGUGCUAACGUCCGUCGUGAAGAGGGAAACAACCCAGACCGCCAGCUAAGGUCCCAAAGUCAUGGUUAAGUGGGAAACGAUGUGGGAAGGCCCAGACAGCCAGGAUGUUGGCUUAGAAGCAGCCAUCAUUUAAAGAAAGCGUAAUAGCUCACUGGUCGAGUCGGCCUGCGCGGAAGAUGUAACGGGGCUAAACCAUGCACCGAAGCUGCGGCAGCGACGCUUAUGCGUUGUUGGGUAGGGGAGCGUUCUGUAAGCCUGCGAAGGUGUGCUGUGAGGCAUGCUGGAGGUAUCAGAAGUGCGAAUGCUGACAUAAGUAACGAUAAAGCGGGUGAAAAGCCCGCUCGCCGGAAGACCAAGGGUUCCUGUCCAACGUUAAUCGGGGCAGGGUGAGUCGACCCCUAAGGCGAGGCCGAAAGGCGUAGUCGAUGGGAAACAGGUUAAUAUUCCUGUACUUGGUGUUACUGCGAAGGGGGGACGGAGAAGGCUAUGUCGGCCGGGCGACGGUUGUCCCGGUUUAAGCGUGUAGGCUGACUUUCCAGGCAAAUCCGGAAAGUUAAGGCUGAGGCGUGAUGACGAGGCACUACGGUGCUGAAGUGACAAAUGCCCUGCUUCCAGGAAAAGCCUCUAAGCAUCAGGUAACAUCAAAUCGUACCCCAAACCGACACAGGUGGUCAGGUAGAGAAUACCAAGGCGCUUGAGAGAACUCGGGUGAAGGAACUAGGCAAAAUGGUGCCGUAACUUCGGGAGAAGGCACGCUGACAUGUAGGUGAAGCCCCUGCGGGUGGAGCUGAAGUCAGUCGAAGAUACCAGCUGGCUGCAACUGUUUAUUAAAAACACAGCACUGUGCAAACACGAAAGUGGACGUAUACGGUGUGACGCCUGCCCGGUGCCGGAAGGUUAAUUGAUGGGGUUAUCGCAAGAGAAGCUCCUGAUCGAAGCCCCGGUAAACGGCGGCCGUAACUAUAACGGUCCUAAGGUAGCGAAAUUCCUUGUCGGGUAAGUUCCGACCUGCACGAAUGGCGUAAUGAUGGCCAGGCUGUCUCCACCCGAGACUCAGUGAAAUUGAACUCGCUGUGAAGAUGCAGUGUACCCGCGGCAAGACGGAAAGACCCCGUGAACCUUUACUACAGCUUGACACUGAACAUUGAGCCUUGAUGUGUAGGAUAGGUGGGAGGCUUUGAAGCGUGGACGCCAGUCUGCGUGGAGCCGACCUUGAAAUACCACCCUUUAAUGUUUGAUGUUCUAACCUGGCGCCGUGAUCCGGCGUGGGGACAGUGUCUGGUGGGUAGUUUGACUGGGGCGGUCUCCUCCCAAAGUGUAACGGAGGAGCACGAAGGUCAGCUAAUCCUGGUCGGACAUCAGGAGGUUAGUGCAAUGGCAUAAGCUGGCUUGACUGCGAGAGUGACGGCUCGAGCAGGUGCGAAAGCAGGUCAUAGUGAUCCGGUGGUUCUGUAUGGAAGGGCCAUCGCUCAACGGAUAAAAGGUACUCCGGGGAUAACAGGCUGAUACCGCCCAAGAGUUCAUAUCGACGGCGGUGUUUGGCACCUCGAUGUCGGCUCAUCACAUCCUGGGGCUGAAGUAGGUCCCAAGGGUAUGGCUGUUCGCCAUUUAAAGUGGUACGCGAGCUGGGUUUAGAACGUCGUGAGACAGUUCGGUCCCUAUCUGCCGUGGGCGCUGGAGAAUUGAGGGGGGCUGCUCCCAGUACGAGAGGACCGGAGUGGACGCAUCACUGGUGUUCGGGUUGUCAUGCCAAUGGCACUGCCCGGUAGCUAAAUGCGGAAGAGAUAAGUGCUGAAAGCAUCUAAGCACGAAACUUGCCCCGAGAUGAGUUCU
rnacentral:rRNA from 1 species